rnacentral:rRNA from 1 species
UACGUAGGGUGCAAGCGUUGUCCGGAAUUAUUGGGCGUAAAGAGCUCGUAGGCGGUUUGUCGCGUCUGCUGUGAAAACUCGGGGCUUAACCCCGGGCCUGCAGUGGGUACGGGCAGACUAGAGUGCGGUAGGGGAGACUGGAAUUCCUGGUGUAGCGGUGAAAUGCGCAGAUAUCAGGAGGAACACCGGUGGCGAAGGCGGGUCUCUGGGCUAUAACUGACGCUCAUGCACGAAAGCGUGGGGAGCAAACAGG